UACAGAGGGUGCGAACGUUGCUCGGAAUUAUUGGGCGUAAAGCGCGUGUAGGCGGCUUGUUAAGUCGGUUGUGAAAACCCAUGGCUCAACCAUGGAAGUGCGUCCGAAACUGGCAAGCUAGAGUCCUGACGAGGAUGGCGGAAUUCCCAGUGUAGAGGUGAAAUUCGUAGAUAUUGGGAGGAACACCGGUGGCGAAGGCGGCCAUCUGGGAAGGUACUGACGCUGAGACGCGAAAGCGUGGGGAG
rnacentral:rRNA from 1 species